rnacentral:tRNA from 1 species
GUAAGUAUAGUUUAAAAAAACCAUUAGCUUGUGAAACUAAAAACAGAAGAUAAAACCUUCUUACUUACCG